rnacentral:lncRNA from 1 species
CGGACAGGGCUGGGAGGACUGCAGCGGGCGGGGCGGGCCGGGUGGGGGCUGGCCGGGGGGCGGCGGGGGAGUCGGUCACUGAGAGUAGAAAAGUUCCCCCAGCGCCGAGGGGGAGGCUGCGGCGGCGGCGGCGGCUGCAAAGAGCAGGAGCGGGAGCGGGAGGAGCGGGAGGAGGAGGAGAAGGAAGUGGCUGCGGAGCGCUCGGCCAAUGAGUGUCUGGAGCUGUGAUUAACCAGGCAGCAACACAUCAUUUCCUCCCGGCGCGGUUCCAGGGAGCCGGGAGGGAGAGGGAAGGCGGCGGGGCGGGGCCGUCCCCGCGCCCCCUGCAGGCGCCCGGCCCGGGGCGAGCCCGCCGAGCCCCGCCGAGCCUGGCCGAGCCGCCCCCGGCGCGCCCCACGCUGUCUGGCCAGCCCAGAGGAGGCUGCGAGCGCGCCUCCCGCGGGGCUCCUUCGAGGCGGGGAGGCGGCGGGGCAGGCCUGAGCCGGGCUCCCGCGGCCAGGGUGGGAGGCAGAGAGGCCGCACGGCGGGGUGAGAGCCCAGACUUUAGGUCUGUGACUGGAGUGCACCAGCAUGGCAGGCUAGCUCGUAUGUAGAAUGGAAUCUCAUCUGAAACUCUGCCAGAAUACCAAGCCCCUCUCAUCUUACAUUUCAAGAGGGAAGAUCAGCUUGUACUUCUGGUCCUAGGAUUAUGACCGGUGCAUACAGAAAAAGCUUUAAGAUGGAAUCUCUAGGUCAUGAGUGCCAGAAACUGUGGUUUUUGUUGGGGUGAUGCAGGCCUGGUGGUGCUGGUGGUCAUCUCUGUCCUCACAUGGCGGGAUCCUCUGGGUGAAUGAAGCUAACACACAGGGGAUAGAAGCUGAAGAUGGAGAGGCAGAGAGAAGCUCUGACAGCACUGCAUCUAGUUUUGCUAAAGA